AAUGGCCGAUGUCUUAUCUUCGUACGGCAGUACUUGGAUGUACUCUUGAGUACUGUGAUCUGGAGCCAAACUCGAAAUACCUACAAGGUCCGUCUAUGAUGUUCCUGUUAGAAGACCCAGGAAACAUACACUCGCGUGACGGAAGGAUACUCAAAUUACACGCGUUUAUAUCUACACGAAUGCCCACUUGAAAGAUGCUGCUAUUAUACACGUAGCAAAUGUUGCCAUGUUACUGAAAACCAUAAACUGUCCACAUGAUACCAUUCCUUACAAAAAUGAAACUGUCUUGGUUUAAAGUUUUACCAAAUACAAGGAAUCCAACUCGGCUGCCUGGUUUCCCACUUUCUGCCGACGGCAGGUCCCGGCUGGCUCGGCGCGUUCUGCAUGGCUGUGUCUCCAUGCAGGGUGGUUGGAGAGCGUGCAGAAGCAUCUCAGAGGUUUCCGGUUGGGACGAUGGUGGCAGGGUGACCGCACCUUCUUCCCAUAUUGCGAGUGAACUUUUGCCCCCAUCCUCAUGGGACAAACAUGGAGGAGGAAGGAGCUCCCUGGGCCCCUGCC
rnacentral:lncRNA from 1 species